AAAAGAGGCCAAUAUAAUUUAUGAACAAAGACUACAGUUGCUCACGUAGUUGAAGGCUAUUGGAACAAGUAGAGGUGUGAGAACUGACCUGUAAGUUAGGUCUCUUACAUGAACAAUCUACGUUGUAAUCCUGUCCUGGAUCAUAUAAUUAUACAAAUCCGGGAAUUCAAUUAUUGGUUAUUUCAGAUAAAUAUACAAAACCCGUAAUAAUGACGACACUAUCCAAGCAUCAGGCAGAAGAAGAAGAAACACUCUGCACUUGCCAUGAAGGCGCCAGCAUGAUAGGCCUUCCUUUCCAACCAAGGAGGAGAACCAUUUUCACUGGCUAGAAUAUAUCCCUCACAGCCAUAAACAGAGAGCAUCAUUCCAGCUUGGCUCAUGCACUUUAACCCAACUACUUGAAACCCUGUUCUGCCUAAUUGCCUUCUCCAUUG
rnacentral:misc_RNA from 1 species